UACGUAGGGUGCAAGCGUUAAUCGGAAUUACUGGGCGUAAAGCGUGCGCAGGCGGUUUUGUAAGUCUGUCGUGAAAGCCCCGGACUCAACCUGGGAAUUGCGAUGGAGACUGCAAGGCUUGAAUCUGGCAGAGGGGGGUAGAAUUCCACGUGUAGCAGUGAAAUGCGUAGAGAUGUGGAGGAACACCGAUGGCGAAGGCAGCCCCCUGGGUCAAGAUUGACGCUCAUGCACGAAAGCGUGGGGAGCAAACAGG
rnacentral:rRNA from 1 species